rnacentral:rRNA from 1 species
GAUCAUGGCUCAGGAUGAACGCUGGCGGCGUGCCUAACACAUGCAAGUCGAACGGGGUUAAGGGAAAUUUCGGAUGGACCUUAACUAGUGGCGGACGGGUGAGUAACGCGUGGAUAACCUGCCUCACACUGGGGGAUAGCAGCUGGAAACGGCUGGUAAUACCGCAUAAGACCACGGCACCGCAUGGUGCAGGGGUAAAAGAUUUAUCGGUGUGAGAUGGAUCCGCGUCUGAUUAGCCAGUUGGCGGGUAACGGCCCACCAAAGCGACGAUCAGUAGCCGGCCUGAGAGGGUGAACGGCCACAUUGGGACUGAGACACGGCCCAAACUCCCACGGGAGGCAGCAGUGGGGAAUAUUGCACAAUGGGCGCAAGCCUGAUGCAGCAACGCCGCGUGAGUGAAGAAGUAUUUCGGUAUGUAAAGCUCUAUCGGCAGGGAAGAAAGGCCCUUAACAGGGAGAUGACGGUACCUGACUAAGAAGCCCCGGCUAACUACGUGCCAGCAGCGGC